CGGGAUGAGCUCAAAUUUGAAAGCUGGCCUUUGGUCCGCAUUGUAAUCUCGAGAAGUGUUUUCCGUGUUGGACCGCGUACAAGUCCCUUGGAAUAGGGCGUCGUAGAGGGUGAGAAUCCCGUACUUGACGCGGCCGCCAAUGCUUUGUGAUACACUCUCCAC
rnacentral:rRNA from 1 species